UCGAGCGGGACCUGAGGAGGGGUAACCCUCUUCAGGGGAGAGCGGCGAACGGGUGAGUAUCACGUGGGCAACCUGCCCCGGACACCGGGAUAACCCAGGGAAACCUGAGCUAAUACCGGAUACUCCGGCGCGAUCGCAUGGUCGCGCCGGGAAAGCUCCGACGGUCCGGGAUGGGCCCGCGGCCUAUCAGCUUGUUGGUGGGGUAACGGCCCACCAAGGCGACGACGGGUAGCUGGUCUGAGAGGACGGCCAGCCACACUGGGACUGAGACACGGCCCAGACUCCUACGGGAGGCAGCAGUGGGGGAUCUUGCGCCAAUGCGCGAAAGCGUGACGCAGCGACGCCGCGUGGGGGAUGAAGGCCCUCGGGUUGUAAACCCCUUUCGGCAGGGACGAAGCGAAAGUGACGGUACCUGCAGAAGAAGUCCCGGCUAACUACGUGCCAGCAGCCGCGGUAACACGUAGGGGACGAGCGUUG
rnacentral:rRNA from 1 species